rnacentral:rRNA from 1 species
AGCGAACGCUGGCGGCAGGCCUAACACAUGCAAGUCGAACGAAGUCUUCGGACUUAGUGGCGGACGGGUGAGUAACACGUGGGAACGUGCCUUUAGGUUCGGAAUAACUCAGGGAAACUUGUGCUAAUACCGAAUGUGCCCUUUGGGGGAAAGAUUUAUCGCCUUUAGAGCGGCCCGCGUCUGAUUAGCUAGUUGGUGAGGUAAAGGCUCACCAAGGCUACGAUCAGUAGCUGGUCUGAGAGGAUGACCAGCCACAUUGGGACUGAGACACGGCCCAAACUCCUACGGGAGGCAGCAGUGGGGAAUCUUGCGCAAGGGGCGAAAGCCUGACGCAGCCAUGCCGCGUGGAUGAUGAAGGUCUUAGGAUUGUAAAAUCCUUUCACCGGUGAAGAUAAUGACUGUAGCCGGAGAAGAAGCCCCGGCUAACUUCGUGCCAGCCGCCGCGGUAAAAC